UUAAGUUAUUAAGGGCGCACGGUGGAUGCCUUGGCACUAGAAGCCGAUGAAGGACGUUACUAACGACGAUAUGCUUUGGGGAGCUGUAAGUAAGCUUUGAUCCAGAGAUUUCCGAAUGGGGAAACCCAGCAUGAGUUAUGUCAUGUUAUCGAUAUGUGAAUACAUAGCAUAUCAGAAGGCACACCCGGAGAACUGAAACAUCUUAGUACCCGGAGGAAGAGAAAGAAAAUUCGAUUCCCUUAGUAGCGGCGAGCGAAACGGGAAGAGCCCAAACCAACAAGCUUGCUUGUUGGGGUUGUAGGACACUCUAUACGGAGUUACAAAGGACGACAUUAGACGAAUCAUCUGGAAAGAUGAAUCAAAGAAGGUAAUAAUCCUGUAGUCGAAAAUGUUGUCUCUCUUGAGUGGAUCCUGAGUACGACGGAGCACGUGAAAUUCCGUCGGAAUCUGGGAGGACCAUCUCCUAAGGCUAAAUACUCUCUAGUGACCGAUAGUGAACCAGUACCGUGAGGGAAAGGUGAAAAGCACCCCGGAAGGGGAGUGAAACAGAACCUGAAACCGUGUGCUUACAAGUAGUCAGAGCCCGUUAAUGGGUGAUGGCGUGCCUUUUGUAGAAUGAACCGGCGAGUUACGAUUUGAUGCAAGGUUAAGCAGUAAAUGUGGAGCCGUAGCGAAAGCGAGUCUGAAUAGGGCGUUUAGUAUUUGGUCGUAGACCCGAAACCAGGUGAUCUACCCUUGGUCAGGUUGAAGUUCAGGUAACACUGAAUGGAGGACCGAACCGACUUACGUUGAAAAGUGAGCGGAUGAACUGAGGGUAGCGGAGAAAUUCCAAUCGAACCUGGAGAUAGCUGGUUCUCUCCGAAAUAGCUUUAGGGCUAGCCUCAAGUGAUGAUUAUUGGAGGUAGAGCACUGUUUGGACGAGGGGCCCCUCUCGGGUUACCGAAUUCAGACAAACUCCGAAUGCCAAUUAAUUUAACUUGGGAGUCAGAACAUGGGUGAUAAGGUCCGUGUUCGAAAGGGAAACAGCCCAGACCACCAGCUAAGGUCCCAAAAUAUAUGUUAAGUGGAAAAGGAUGUGGCGUUGCCCAGACAACUAGGAUGUUGGCUUAGAAGCAGCCAUCAUUUAAAGAGUGCGUAAUAGCUCACUAGUCGAGUGACACUGCGCCGAAAAUGUACCGGGGCUAAACAUAUUACCGAAGCUGUGGAUUGUCCUUUGGACAAUGGUAGGAGAGCGUUCUAAGGGCGUUGAAGCAUGAUCGUAAGGACAUGUGGAGCGCUUAGAAGUGAGAAUGCCGGUGUGAGUAGCGAAAGACGGGUGAGAAUCCCGUCCACCGAUUGACUAAGGUUUCCAGAGGAAGGCUCGUCCGCUCUGGGUUAGUCGGGUCCUAAGCUGAGGCCGACAGGCGUAGGCGAUGGAUAACAGGUUGAUAUUCCUGUACCACCUAUAAUCGUUUUAAUCGAUGGGGGGACGCAGUAGGAUAGGCGAAGCGUGCGAUUGGAUUGCACGUCUAAGCAGUAAGGCUGAGUAUUAGGCAAAUCCGGUACUCAUUAAGGCUGAGCUGUGAUGGGGAGAAGACAUUGUGUCUUCGAGUCGUUGAUUUCACACUGCCGAGAAAAGCCUCUAGAUAGAAAAUAGGUGCCCGUACCGCAAACCGACACAGGUAGUCAAGAUGAGAAUUCUAAGGUGAGCGAGCGAACUCUCGUUAAGGAACUCGGCAAAAUGACCCCGUAACUUCGGGAGAAGGGGUGCUCUUUAGGGUUAACGCCCAGAAGAGCCGCAGUGAAUAGGCCCAAGCGACUGUUUAUCAAAAACACAGGUCUCUGCUAAACCGUAAGGUGAUGUAUAGGGGCUGACGCCUGCCCGGUGCUGGAAGGUUAAGAGGAGUGGUUAGCUUCUGCGAAGCUACGAAUCGAAGCCCCAGUAAACGGCGGCCGUAACUAUAACGGUCCUAAGGUAGCGAAAUUCCUUGUCGGGUAAGUUCCGACCCGCACGAAAGGCGUAACGAUUUGGGCACUGUCUCAACGAGAGACUCGGUGAAAUCAUAGUACCUGUGAAGAUGCAGGUUACCCGCGACAGGACGGAAAGACCCCGUGGAGCUUUACUGUAGCCUGAUAUUGAAAUUCGGCACAGCUUGUACAGGAUAGGUAGGAGCCUUUGAAACGUGAGCGCUAGCUUACGUGGAGGCGCUGGUGGGAUACUACCCUAGCUGUGUUGGCUUUCUAACCCGCACCACUUAUCGUGGUGGGAGACAGUGUCAGGCGGGCAGUUUGACUGGGGCGGUCGCCUCCUAAAAGGUAACGGAGGCGCUCAAAGGUUCCCUCAGAAUGGUUGGAAAUCAUUCAUAGAGUGUAAAGGCAUAAGGGAGCUUGACUGCGAGACCUACAAGUCGAGCAGGGUCGAAAGACGGACUUAGUGAUCCGGUGGUUCCGCAUGGAAGGGCCAUCGCUCAACGGAUAAAAGCUACCCCGGGGAUAACAGGCUUAUCUCCCCCAAGAGUUCACAUCGACGGGGAGGUUUGGCACCUCGAUGUCGGCUCAUCGCAUCCUGGGGCUGUAGUCGGUCCCAAGGGUUGGGCUGUUCGCCCAUUAAAGCGGUACGCGAGCUGGGUUCAGAACGUCGUGAGACAGUUCGGUCCCUAUCCGUCGUGGGCGUAGGAAAUUUGAGAGGAGCUGUCCUUAGUACGAGAGGACCGGGAUGGACAUACCUCUGGU
rnacentral:rRNA from 2 species